AUACGCAGGGGGCUAGCGUUGUUCGGAAUCACUGGGCGUAAAGCGCACGUAGGCGGAUUGUUAAGUCGGGGGUGAAAUCCUGGGGCUCAACCUCAGAACUGCCUCCGAUACUGGCGAUCUUGAGUUCGGAAGAGGUUGGUGGAACAGCUAGUGUAGAGGUGAAAUUCGUAGAUAUUAGCUAGAACACCAGUGGCGAAGGCGGCCAACUGGUCCGAUACUGACGCUGAGGUGCGAAAGCGUGGGGAGCAAAAAGGAUUAGAUACCCUGGUAGUCCACGCCGUAAACGAUGAAUGCCAGCCGUCGGGGAGCUUGCUCUUCGGUGGCGCAGCUAACGCUUUAAGCAUUCCGCCUGGGGAGUACGGUCGCAAGAUUAAA
rnacentral:rRNA from 1 species